rnacentral:rRNA from 1 species
UACGUAGGGUCCGAGCGUUAAUCGGAAUUACUGGGCGUAAAGCGUGCGCAGGCGGUUUUUUAAGUCAGAUGUGAAAUCCCCGGGCUCAACCUGGGAACUGCAUUUGGGACUGCAAGGCUUGAGUACGGCAGAGGGGGGUAGAAUUCCUGGUGUAGCAGUGAAAUGCGUAGAUAUCAGGAGGAAUACCGAUGGCGAAGGCAGCCCCCUGGGUCGAUACUGACGCUCAUGCACGAAAGCGUGGGGAGCAAACAGG